UACGUAGGGACCAAGCGUUGUCCGGAAUCAUUGGCGUAAAGAGCGUGUAGGCGGCUUGUUAAGUCUUGCGUGAAAACUCAGGGCUCAACCCUGAGCGUGCUUCCGAUACGGGCAGACUAGAGGUAUGCAGGGGAGAACGGAAUUCCUGGUGUAGCGGUGGAAUGCGCAGAUAUCAGGAGGAACACCGAUGGCGAAGGCAGAUCUCUGGGCCACUACUGACGCUGAGGAGCGAAAGCAUGGGGAGCGAACAGG
rnacentral:rRNA from 1 species